UAUUUAUGUGAAUAAGAACCUAAGAUUGGACAUUAUACAAGUUUACAGAUUUAACUACAACUACACGUCGGCUCAUUAUUGUCAAAAUUUGUGAAGUUUGAUUUUUGACCUUGCAAAAGAGCACAUGCAUGGUAAGAGUUUUUCUUUUUUUUCUUUUUUACUUUUUUUCUUCUUAUAUAUUGCCUAUCUUUUCUGCAAUAGAACUCCAAAAUGACCAAAAUGCAACAUUCAAGAAAUACUUUUGUAGGAACUCCAUGCUGGUGAGAUGUGACCUUUUUCCAUAACUAUAUUUUAUUUUCCAAUAGCACGUGUAUUUUAUUUGAUGGAGUUUUUCAUGUAAAUGUAAUUUAUGGCUUACAUGCCUUAGAAUUUCAAUUAUUUUUCCAUGUGUACGAUGGCUCCAGAGGUUAGCAAAGAAGUGGAUCUGAUUUCAAGGGUCAAUUCGAAGUAUGAUAGCAUAGAUGGAAAUAAUAUAAGUGGUUCAAGCAGCAAGGUUUCAGUAACAUAGCUGCAACUACUAUGUUGGAGCUUUUCAUUCUAUCUCUUUUAGGAAAUUGGGUUUUAUGCUCUUCUUAUAAAGGAAAAUAAUUGGAUUUUAUUUAUU